rnacentral:rRNA from 1 species
UACAGAGGGUGCAAGCGUUGUUCGGAAUUACUGGGCGUAAAGGGCGCGUAGGCGGCCUGCUAAGUCGAACGUGAAAUCCCUGGGCUCAACCCAGGAACUGCGUCCGAUACUGGUUGGCUUGAAUCCGGGAGAGGGAUGUGGAAUUCCAGGUGUAGCGGUGAAAUGCGUAGAUAUCUGGAGGAACACCGGUGGCGAAGGCGACAUCCUGGACCGGUAUUGACGCCGAUGUGCGAAAGCGUGGGGAGCAAACAGG